rnacentral:rRNA from 1 species
ACUCCUACGGGAGGCAGCAGUGGGGAAUACUGGACAAUGGUCGGAAGCCUGAUCCAGCCAUGCCGCGUGUGUGAAGAAGGCCUUAUGGUUGUAAAGCACUUUAAGCGAGGAGGAGGGUCCUAGUAUUAAUACUCGUGGAUAGUGGACGAUACUUGCAGAAUAAGCACCGUAUCCUCUGUGCCAGCAGCCGCGGUAAU